rnacentral:rRNA from 1 species
GGCUCGACUCUCCCACCCAAUGUGUACCUACCUCUGUUGCUUUGGCGGGCCGC